UAAGGAAUAUUGGUCAAUGGGCGCAAGCCUGAACCAGCCAUGCCGCGUGCAGGAAGACGGCCCUAUGGGUUGUAAACUGCUUUUGUCAGGGAAUAAACCCCCGCUCGUGAGCGGGGCUGAAGGUACCUGAAGAAUAAGCAUCGGCUAACUCCGUGCCAGCAGCCGCGGUAAUACGGAGGAUGCAAGCGUUAUCCGGAUUCAUUGGGUUUAAAGGGUGCGCAGGCGGAUUGGUAAGUCAGGGGUGAAAUCCCACAGCUCAACUGUGGAACUGCCUUUGAUACUGUCAGUCUAGAGUAUAGUUGAAGUGGGCGGAAUGUGUCAUGUAGCGGUGAAAUGCUUAGAUAUGACACAGAACACCGAUCGCGAAGGCAGCUCGCUAAGCUAUAACUGACGCUAAUGCACGAAAGCGUGGGGAU
rnacentral:rRNA from 1 species